rnacentral:lncRNA from 1 species
GGCUUCCAAAGCUGAAUUCGCUGGGCUUGACUUGCGGCCCAAAUGGGCUGAACGCUGGGCUGCGCAUUGAACUGAACUGGGCUGAAGAAAUGCUGGACUGAUGGGCUCGAAAACUGCAGGUUUGGGCCAACUGAUCCACGAGCGGAGGAGAGAGAUCACGCGGGCAGUUUGCUUCGGUGAUGUUGGGCCGCAGGGAAACGUGGCAGGGAGCAGAGGAUUCGAUGGAGAUGAGGCAGUGGCGAAGUCAGCAUCGUUGUUGAAGAUUGACCAAGGGCGACGACGUUGAAGACAAGUGGCAGGCGAGACCGAUGGAUGCUGAAGCUGGGAGCGUCAGUGGCAGUAAAAGGAAGCGGAGCUGCAGACUUGGACGUUGAAGCUGGACGUCGAGGCCGCAUGAAGCAACAGCUGAAGACCACGCGGACAGGGCUGCUUCGGCUUCGCUCGGUGGUCAACAAAAUGGGAGGAAACUUGCUGCUGUUGACCGAAGAACCGCGGUGCUUGGACAAGUGGCGUGGACGUGCGGCGAUGGAGCAGCUUUGUGGAACAUGGGCCGAGCGAAGAGAGAGAGAUGGCUUCGGUUGAAUUCGAUGGCAGAGACGGAGGGAGAGAGGACGUGGGAUGAGGACAGCGGCUGCAAGUGUCUUCGGCUCUGGGUGGGGUUGAUUGAGUGAGCAAGAACUCAGACGCGUGGGGGGUUUCUUCGGUUGAUUUGCAGGUGGUGAUGGGCUGAAUGAAGACACGGUGUAGGGGCAGCUUCAAAAAAGAAGAAUGAAAUGAAAAUGAAACACAA